UCCAGGAGAGCUGGAGAGGGACUUGGGACAAGGGUUGGAGGGACAGGACAAGGAGCAAUAGGCAAUAGAGGGCAUAGGAGGUGGGACAUAAAAUACAACCCAGGCAGAUGGGGAUGGUGGGAGGUGACAUCCCUGCUGCAACAUGGACACUGCAAUGCUGCUGGGCCACCUGCACCUAUUUUAUCCUAAUUAAUGCAUUUUUACCUUGUUUAACUUCAAGGCCUGCCCCAGGGCAGCCAUGGGAAGGGCAGAAUGCAGCUCUCUGUGGGAUAUCUGCUCUCCUGGGGGGGUGCUGACAGCCUGUUCUGCACCCCAAGCCUGGUGAAUGCUGCACAGUGAGAUCUCUUUGAUCACUGGCUCUCAGGUGCUCAGAGUUAUUACUCAAAAACAAAGGAUCUUCUUUUGUGGAUCAGGGUCUCCCUCCAUCAAGAAGCAUCUACACACACCAUGUCCACACUGUGCUGCUGAGGAGCAAUGUAGCAGCUCUGCACCAAAGACAACUGAGGUAUUCCAAGCACCAAAUGUAAUCCAGAAAGUAGGAGUUACCUUUUCCCUCUGCUUGCCUGUAAUGAAGAAUUUUGUUGACUUGUUGUUAUUGUAAUAGCGUAAAAGUGAAAUUUUUGUGCCCUGUCUGUGCCCAUAUGGAUCUCCUUCCCACUGGGCAAGAAUUGAUGCUCAUCAUCUGUUUGGCAAGUUUUAAAUAAAAAUUCUGCAGAUGCAGAAUUAGAACAUGAAGAACA